UCACCAUGUUAAAUCCGUGUCAAUGUCUAAUUUUACUUCACAAGAAGUUGAAGCCCUUAAAGAAGGCAGUAAUCAGCGUGCAAUGGAAACAUUUAUAAGAGAUUGGGACCCACGAGAACAUAGACUUCUACAUAACAGGUGAUGCACUUUUAUACUUUUACGUUUUUACAUUUAGUGUUUGAGUAGAAAGAAUGUUAAUUUAGUUUUUUAUGCAUGCUCGCUAUUACAGCAAUGUGGAGAAAGUUUGAGAUAUUAUAAAGAGUGUCUACGUGGAUAAGAAGUUUUUCACUUCAAAGGCGUCCGGAAAACCUCCUAGAGAUGCAAUGGAUGGUUCGGUUCUAUAUUGGAUGUGAUGGAAGUUGUUUUGAAGGCAUUUGCACCAAGGAGGUACUAUGAAAUCGACCUCCA